rnacentral:rRNA from 1 species
AGAGUUUGAUCCUGGCUCAGAACGAACGCUGGCGGCAGGCUUAACACAUGCAAGUCGAGCGCCCAGCAAUGGGAGCGGCGGACGGGUGAGUAACACGUGGGAACAUGCCUUUCGGUACGGAACAACUUCGGGAAACUGAAGCUAAUGCCGUAUGCGCCCUUACGGGGAAAGAUUUAUCGCCGAAAGAUUGGCCCGCGUCUGAUUAGCUAGUUGGUGAGGUAACGGCUCACCAAGGCUUCGAUCAGUAGCUGGUUUGAGAGAACGACCAGCCACACUGGGACUGAGACACGGCCCAGACUCCUACGGGAGGCAGCAGUGGGGAAUCUUGGACAAUGGGGGAAACCCUGAUCCAGCCAUGCCGCGUGAGUGAUGAAGGCCUUCGGGUUGUAAAACUCUUUUACCAGGGAAGAUAAUGACUGUACCUGGAGAAUAAGCCCCGGCUAACUUCGUGCCAGCAGCCGCGGUAAUACGAAGGGGGCUAGCGUUGUUCGGAAUUACUGGGCGUAAAGCGCGCGCAGGCGGUUCUUCAAGUCAGGGGUGAAAGCCCAGAGCUCAACUCUGGAAUUGCCUUUGAAACUGUAGAACUUGAGUACGAGAGAGGUGAGUGGAAUUCCCAGUGUAGAGGUGAAAUUCGUAGAUAUUGGGAAGAACACCGGUGGCGAAGGCGGCUCACUGGCUCGUUACUGACGCUCAGGCGCGACAGCGUGGGGAUCAAACAGGAUUAGAUACCCUAGUAGUCC